rnacentral:rRNA from 1 species
AUUGAACGCUGGCGGCAUGCCUUACACAUGCAAGUCGAACGGCAGCACGGGAGCAAUCCUGGUGGCGAGUGGCGAACGGGUGAGUAAUAUAUCGGAACGUGCCCAGUCGUGGGGAUAACGUAGCGAAAGCUACGCUAAUACCGCAUACGAUCUAUGGAUGAAAGCGGGGGAUCGCAAGACCUCGCGCGAUUGGAGCGGCCGAUAUCAGAUUAGGUAGUUGGUGAGGUAAAGGCUCACCAAGCCGACGAUCUGUAGCUGGUCUGAGAGGACGACCAGCCACACUGGGACUGAGACAC